rnacentral:rRNA from 1 species
AACGAACGCUGGCGGCAGGCCUAACACAUGCAAGUCGAACGCGACUUCGGUCGAGUGGCGCACGGGUGAGUAACGCGUGGGAACCUGCCCUAUGGUACGGAAUAACAUCGGGAAACUGAUGCUAAUACCGUAUACCUCCUGAGGGAGAAAGAUUUAUCGCCAUAGGACGGGCCCGCGUAGGAUUAGCUAGUUGGUGAGGUAAUGGCUCACCAAGGCGACGAUCCUUAGCUGGUCNGAGAGGAUGAUCAGCCACACUGGGACUGAGACACGGCCCAGACUCCUACGGGAGGCAGCAGUGGGGAAUAUUGGACAAUGGGGGAAACCCUAGAUCCAGCCAUGCCGCGUGAGUGAUGAAGGCCUUCGGUUGU